AUUUUCAAUAGUGGAGUUUUGUGUUCAGGAUUAUAAUUAACGUUAUUUUGCGAUAUAAAAUUAUACUAAUAUACAGUAUUUUAUAUUAAUUAUGUAUAAGGAAUAUAUGAAUAUCAUAACUGUAAGAUUUCAAGAAAAUAGAAGUGUGAAACAAGUUAAAACCAUCUUCGAACCAAACUGAAGGAUUUAAAAAUUGAUAAAGAAGCGAUGUCUGUACGUGUUUCCGACUGACUAUUAUUUACAGUUUUCACAUAAUCGUUUAAUAAAAUAUUUGAAAAAAUUGAUAAUAAUUUAAACGAAAUACUUUGGUAAGCUCGACCACAAACGCAUGUAUCUGAAAAUGCUAAAUAAUGUAUGUCUGAUUGAAUGCUAAUAUAUGUUAAUUUACAUAAAAUAUGUUUAUUUUCAUUAUUCUUCCAUUAUUGCAUACAUAUGAAUAAAUGAGGCUAUCGCUUCUUCAGUGGGGACAGAAAGGCCCCCCCUCUUUAAUGGGGCCCAUAACCAGAAAUAUAAAUUUUAAUGGAAUCAUCUACAACACAAUCGGACAAGUAUUCGGUAUCGAAGAUUCCUGAGAAACAAGUGACAUCAGUGGGAAGAUCAUGAAGAUCGUUAUUAUUGUCAUCACAAAUUCGAAAUUUAUUUUUGAUUUCAGUACUAUCAUAAUUUCCCUUGCAAUUGGGAACACAGCAACGCC